rnacentral:rRNA from 1 species
UACGUAGGGGGCAAGCGUUGUCCGGAUUUAUUGGGCGUAAAGCGCACGCAGGCGGUCUUUUAAGUUUUGAGUGACAGGCGAGGGCUUAACCCUGGCAGGCCUUGGAAAACUGGAAGACUUGAGGGCGAGAGAGGGAUGCGGAAUUCCAGGUGGAGCGGUGAAAUGCGUAGAGAUCUGGAAGAACACCGAAGGCGAAGGCAGCAUCCUGGAGCGUUACUGACGCUGAUGUGCGAAAGCUAGGGGAGCGAACGGG